AUCUCCAUUUGACAUAGUAUUGAAUUGUUGCAAUUACCAUGCCAUACUAUUCGUAUCCUAGUGCUUUGUAGUUUUACCACAUGGUACCUUCACAUUCUCAUAUUCAUGGUGUUCCUCGAGUGCCUAUAAGCUUUUGGUGCCCUACCUUUUGACUCAUAAAAUAUUGUUGUCCUCACUAUUAUUAUAAAUAUUUUACCUCUUAAACUAAUUGAUGAUGACAUGGGACUCCAAAAAAACUCUCCAUUUUUUAUAACCCACAAAUCUGUUUGGUUUAGCCCUGAAUUAUUGCUCAAUUGUUUUGUAUAAUUAUGAUAAACUACACAUUAUCUUUUGGUCAUGAAAUUCAAAGACAUCAUUUUCAUUUCUAUUCACAUUAGAAUUGCAUUUUGUGAAUUCUAAUUUUGGUUAUGUUAGAGAGCAUAUUUAACAUGUGUCAUUUGAUAUAUGUUAUUCCCUUUUUUUUUAUGUUUAUAGUUCUUCCAUUAUUGUAUUUUUCUAUUUCUGUACACUCCUAUAUAUAGGAGUACAAUUUCUUAUUGUAUUUUUUCUUACAAGACUUUUCCUCUUUAGAAAAAUUCUAUUUCUAUACACUCCUAUAUAUAGGAGUACAAAAUCAUAGAAUAAUAUAGAUCAAUUCUCUCUCAUUUCCUGUUUCAUGGUAUCAGAGCUUAGGAUUCUUUGGAUAAGAUCCACCACCAUCUCUUUUCCUAUCACCUUCUCUACUCGUACAUCAGCCUCUCCUCUCUCUUUCCUCUCCUUUCUCGUUCUUCUCCUUUUUGUGCUGAUCUAGAUCGAGGGACUUCCUCUACUGAGUGACUUUAAGGGAAAGGCGUCGCUUCUUUCUCCUUUCCUGGUCUAUCGGGAUCGGGUCUGCAGCUCGCCGCAUAAAUAUGUUCUGCGGCUUGCCAUUAGUUUAAGUGCUUUCUGUGCCUGCCUAUAUGUGGUGAUUUUGGUCUACCGAAUCUACCACAUUGACUGCCUGCCUUCAUACUAAUUUGAUGGCUAAUACUACUCCAACGAUGCCUUCAACUGUUAGAUCUCUGCCUUCCUCACAUCUGCAAGGUCUUACUACCAUUAAACUUAAUGGUAAAAACUAUCUUGUAUGGGCUCGAGCAUUCAAGAAGUUUGUUAGUGCAUAUGGCAAGCUCCACAUUCUGAUUGAUGAUCCAAUUCCUUCUAAUGAUGUAAAGUACAAAAAUUGGCUCAAGGAGGACUCGUGUUUAUACUUGGUUGCUGAACAGUAUGAAGUCAGAUGUUAGUGCUAAUAUAGUAUUUCUAAACACUGCUAAAGAAAUUUGGGAUGCUCUUAAGAAGAUGUAUUCUCAUGCCAAAAAUUUAUCUAGAGUAUUUAAGUUGUCUCAGCAACUAUUUUACCCUACGCUAUAUUGGUGGAUCCUUAGCUGACUUCUAUGCCAAGUUCAAAGGGCUCUGGGAUGAGCUCAAUAUCUAUCAGCCAUUAACUAUAGAUGUAAGUAUAAUGAAGCAACAAUGCGAGGAGUUCCAAGUGGUUCAGUUUUUGGCUGCCCUUACUCCUGAGUAUGCUCCUAUCCGUGAUCAGAUUCUUAGUGGUGACUCCUUGCCUUCCCUAUAUUCUAUUUUUUCUUGUCUUCAACAAGUUCCUGCUCCACUUUCAAAAUCUAAAACUUCUGUUGAAUCUUCGGCACUUGUUGCUGGUAGUCAUGAUCGCAAUUCCUCGUUCAACCGUGGUCGUGGACGUAGCCAAGGGGGAAACCAUGGUCGUGGGACUAGUUCCAGUGGACGAAAAUGUACUUACUGCGGCCGCACUAAUCACGUAGAGAAGAAGUGCUGGGAGAAGUAUGGUAAGCCCGAUUGGGCUAACCAAGUUAUUGCUCCAGAGUCAGAGCUGAGACUGUUGUUGCACCCACUAAAGUUGCUUCUGAUAUUAUGACUAUUUCUUGGGCGGACUUGGAGCAAUUGGUCUGCCAGAUGACUCAACUAUCUUCUGCUUCUUCCUCGACUCCUCCCGUAGCAUCCUUUGCCUCAGAUAGCACUGCUCUCUUGUCUACCACUGCAUAUGUGCCUUCCUCUUGGAUCAUUGACUCAGGUGCUACAUCACAUAUGUCAAAUGACUCUAGACUGUUCAUUUUAUUUCCUAUUUCAAAAAAUCACCCUCCUAUCUUUCUAGCUAAUGGUAGACAAUCGUCAGUAUCUGAUUGUGGUUCUGUAUCACCUACUUCCUCUUUGUCAUUUUUCUCAGUUCUUUGUGCCUAAAUUUUUAUUAAAUCUUUUGUCAGUCAAUUCUCUUACAAAAUCUUUAAACUGUUCAGUCACCUUCUAUCCUUCUUAUUGUGUUUUUCAGGAUCUCUUGAUGAGGAAGAAGAUUAGUAGGGGCCAUGAAGGUGCUGAUGGCCUAUAUUACCUGGAUGUUCCAAGAUCGAGAGCUUUUUCAUCUGUGGUGAGUCCUCAGACUUAAGAUUGUUGAUAAUCAGAAUUGCUUGUACAUCUUUCAUGUUAUAAGAGGCUCUCUAUAUGGAGCAAUAAAGAUCUAGGUACAAUGAAUCUAUUGAUCUCCUAAUGAUAUAUUUCUUUCUAUUUAGGAUUAUACAGAUUUCUCGAAUCAAUUACAAUAGAAAACAAAACAAUGAUAAAUAUCUCCUACUCUAGAUAUGGAAAUACAUAAAUUAUAAUCCCUGAUUGGUAGACACGAAUCAAGAGAUAUAGGGAUAUCAAUCAACACUCCCCCUCAAGCCGGUGCGUAUAUGUCAUAUGCAUCAAGCUUGUUACAUAUGUAUGUUACCCUCAGACCCCGAAGUGAUUUGGUGAAGAUAUCUGCUAGUUGAUCGUUAGAAUUCACAAACGAGAUAGUGAUUUCUCCAGAGAUAAUCUUUUCUUAGAUGAAAUGGCAGUCAAUCUCUAUAUGUUUAAUCCGCUCAUGGAAGAUUGGAUUGGAAGCAAUGUGCAAGGCUGCUUGAUUAUCACAAAUGAGUUUCAUAGAGCCUACCUUGCAAAACUUCAAUUCUUGAAGCAGUUGUCUCAACCAUAUAAGUUCACAUGUAGUAAGGGCCAUAGCUCGAUAUUCUGUUUCUGCACUUGAUCUGACAACCACAUUCUGCUUUUUGCUUUUCCAUGAGAUGAGAUUGCCUCGAAUAAGAACACAGUACCUAGAAGUCGAUCUUCUAUCACUAGGGGAUCAUGCCCAAUUUGCAUCUGUAUAUGCAACAAUGUCUUUGUGGCCUCUAUUUUCAUAAAUCAAUCCUCUUUCGGGAGAACCCUUAAUAUAUCUCAAGAUCCAAACCACUGCAUCCCAAUGACUGUCACAAAGAGAGUUAAGAAACUGACUUACAACACUAACAGCAAAGGAUACGUCUAGUCUGGUCAUGGUGAGAUAAUUUAAUUUUCCUACUAGUCUCCGAUAUCUGUCUGGGUCUGAAUAGGACUCCCCCUGAUCUGGUAGAAGUUUCACGUUUGGAUCCAUAGGAGUAUCGAUUGGUUUACAAUCUAGCAUCCCAGUCUCUUCCAGAAUGUCAAGGGCAUACUUCCUUUGAGAGAUGGCGAUGCCUGUUUUUGAUUAGGCUACUUCAAUCCCAAGUACCGCAACCGGCCCAACUUCUUAGUUUAGAAGUGUUGAAACAAGUGCUGCUUUAGGCCUUUGAUACUGUCAUGAUCAUCACCUGUAAUGACAAUAUCAUCCACGUAGACCACAAGGUAGAUGCAUAGAUUAGAGGAUGAAUGUUUAUAAAAUACAGAAUGAUGUCUCACUACAGACCAUCCCAAAUUGUUGUAUGACUUUACUAAAUCUUCCAAACCAUGCCCGAAAAGACUGCUUAAGGCCAUAUAGCGAUUUGUGUAACCUGCAAACCAAACUCGUCUCUCCUUGAGCAAUAAACCUAGGUGGUUGCUCCAUAUAAACGUCCUCCAAGGCACCAUGUAGAAAGGCAUUUUUGAUGUCCAACUAAUAUAGAGGCCAAUGAUUCAUGGCAGCCAUUGAUAAGAAGAGCCGGACAGCGUCAUCUUAGCAACAAGGGAGAAUGUGUCUCCAUAAUCAAGACCAAAGAUUUGAGUAUAGCCCUUAGCCACAAGACGUGCUUUCAAACGAUCCAUCUAUCCAUCAGGGCCCACUUUAAUAGUAAAAAUCCAUCAACAACCAACUGCAGAUUUUUCAGGAAGGGAAGGAACAAGAGUCCAUGUAUUAUUGGAUUCCAAGGCUGUCAUCUCAUCAAUCAUCGCUUGAUGUCAUCCUGGAUGGGAAAGUGCUUCCUGGACAGUUUUAAGAAUAGAAACGGAAGACAAGACAGAAACAAAGACAUAAUGGGAUGAAGAUAAACGAUGAUAGCUCAAAAAAUUAUAAAUAGAAUGAGGAUUACAAGUAGAGCGUAAACCUUUAUGGAAAGCUAUAGGCCGAUCAGUGGAAUGCUCAAGCAGGCCCGGGGUAGGUGGAGAUGCUGGAGCAGAAAAUGAAUUACCUAAAUAUUGAGUGGGAACAGUCUCCGAAAUCUCAGGUUAUGGUCAAUGCUGAUAAGUGAUAAGUGGGCAUGGUGAGGAAUGUAUCUACUGAGCAGGCAGAGUAGGAGGUUCGAGAGAAACAAAGACUGACAGACCAAGGUAGAAAAUCAGUAAGAGCUAAGAGAUGGAUUCAGGCUCCACCAAUGAGCUGAAAUAAUGUGUCCUCAAAGAAGGUGACAUCUGCAGACAUGUAAAAUCGAUGAGUGGAAGGAGAAUAACAUCGAUAUCUCUUCUGAACCCGAGAGUAACCAAGAAAAAUGUAUUUAAUAGCACAAACAGACAGUUGAUCAAAAUCUGGAGAAAGAUCAUGCACAAAACAGGUAGAACCAAAAACACAAGUGGGAACAAUGUAAAGAGGGUCCUUAGAAAAUAAAAGAGAAUGAGGUACUUGGUUAUUUAAAACAGAUGAUGGCAUUCGAUUUAUCAAAUAACCAGCGGUGAGGACAGCAUUAUCCCAAAACUUUAAGAGUGCAUUAGCAUGUAACAAAAGAGUACGAGCUGUCUCAAUAAUAUGAUGAUAUUUUUUUCUGCUAUGCUAUUUUGUUGUGGAGUAUGUGGACAGGUGGAUUGAUGAAUCAUUCCAUGAGAUGUCAUGAAAAAAUUGGAGGGAGCAGGAAAAAUACUCUUUUGCAUUAUCACUGUGCAAAAUGCAAAUAGAGUGCCCAACAUAAGUUUGAAUUUUAUUGCAAAAAUUUUGAAAAAUAGUAAACAACUCUGAACGAUCUUUCAUUAAGAGUAUCCAAGUACACCUUGAAAAAUCAUCAAUGAAAGUAACAAAGUACCUAUAUUCUAAGAUAGAACUGACAUGAUUAGGACCCCAAUCAUCAAAAUGAACGAUGUCAAAAGGAGACUGCUCGAUUAUUUACCUUGCUUGGAAAGGAUGCCCGAACAUAUUUUUCAAGCUGACACGACUCACACUCCAAAGACUGCAAAUGAGAGAGAUAAGGGAUCAUCUUUCUUAGCUUAUUUAGACUCAGAUGACCCAGACAACGGUGAAGGAGACAAGGAGACUGUGACAGCACAUAUGAUAGAGGAUGGAGGCUAGAGAUAAUAAAGUCCUUGUGAUUUAGAUCCCACGCCAAUCGUCUGUUCUAUACUCCGAUCCUGUAUAGGAAAAGAAUCAGCAUUAAAGGUUAUAGAGCAGUCAAGAGUGCAAAUAAGUUGACUAAUAAAAAUUAAACUAAAGGGGCAACUUGGUAUAACAAGAACAAAAUUUAAGGAAAAAGAAGAGAGGUGUAGCUUAACCAAUGCCAGUGGCUUUACCUUUAGAGCCAUCGGCAAGGGUGAUGUAAUGUGGUGUCUUGGGAGAUGAUAAUUUUGAGAAAAAAAAAGAAUUACCAGCUAUGUGGUCAGAAGUAUCAGAAUCCAAAAUCCAGGAUCCACCAAACAAAGAAUGAGGCAAACCGUAGAAUUACCAGUAUGGACAACAAUAGCUGAAGAUGAAGCUUGUUGGGCUGCUUUAAACUGAAGAUACUCGUAUUCACGAUCUGAUAAAAUAUUCUGGUUGUCACUCUCAAUAUCCGGUGCCUAAGAUUGUAUCACAUUAGCUGAUUUCUCUAGAAAAUCAUGCAAAAAAUAGCACCGAUCUCGAGUAUGGCCCAAGCGAUUACAAAAGAAACAUUGAGGACGAUUACCAGAUCCACCUCCCCCUCUACCACCACCACGGCCUCGACCUCCACGGUCAGUCGUGUUAGAGACAGGCUGAAGAUUCGGAGACUAUUUGGAAACCAACUCCAAAUGCUGCCUCUGAAGAAGGAACUCACAGCAAACGAUCGAUAAGAUCCUCCACCAUAGGAAUAUUAGGAUUUGUCAGAACUUGAUUUCGAAUAGAGUCAAAAUCUUUAUGAAGAUCGUGGAGAACGAACACCAUAUACAUGUCCAGCUUAUCCAGCAUCUUCUGAAGGUUAUCACCGAUCGGUAUCAACUUGAUUUCUUUAAUGGUGGAUUGAGCUUUUGUUUAGAUAUGAGGGUAGGUCAUGAUCCGUCAUUUUAAGUGUUGCCAGGUUAUGGAUAGAAUCAUACAGAUGUUGAAUAUCAUUGGAAUAGAUGCUCCAAGCUUUCUUUCAUAUGUCAUAGCAUGUUUUAUAUGAGCGAAAGUGCAUUAACAGCUUUGGAUCAAUGGACUGCCAUAACAAAGACACCAACUGAUAAUCAGCCUUCUUCCACUGGUCCCUCUCAUCAGCAUCGAUAUCUUCUGCCCUCUUGGUUGGAUGCUCAAAGAGUCCUUGACCUAAAAAUCAUACAUCAACAGCAGCAUACCAACCCAAAAAAUUUUUACCAUUGAGUUUCUCUAACGUUAUGGUGGGAGUGCCAGAGAAAGCAAAGGAAACAAGGCCCUUCUUCAAAUCUGAUGCAAAAACCAUGAGAGAGAUUUUAUUUAACAGAUCUUACGACGAGAUGAUGACCAAAAAUUGAGGCAGAAUGGCGAAAACUAAAACCGAGGCAGGAAAGUAAGGAGGGAAUAGAGAUAAUGUUACCGGGGCUUGCCGAAAAGAUACACGACAAGGAGAUCUUGCUGACUAGAAGCUUUUCAAUGGAGGACAGUGGGUCUACUGAAUUUUGACAAAAGCUCUGAUACCAACUUAAGACUACUGAUAAUCAGAAUUGCUUGUAUGUCUUUCAUAUUACAAGAGGCUCUAUAUAUAAAGCAAUAAAGAUUUAGAUACAAUAAACCUAUUAAUCUCCUAAUGAUAUAUUUUCUAAACAGGAUUU
rnacentral:lncRNA from 1 species